rnacentral:rRNA from 1 species
GGGGGGGGCAAGCGUUGUUCGGAAUUACUGGGCGUAAAGGGCUCGUAGGCGGCCAACUAAGUCGGACGUGAAAUCCCCAGGCUCAACCUGGGAACUGCGUCCGAUACUGGAUGGCUUGAAUCCGGGAGAGGGAUGCAGAAUUCCAGGUGUAGCGGUGAAAUGCGUAGAUAUCUGGAGGAAUACCGGUGGCGAAGGCAGCAUCCUGGACCGGCAUUGACGCUGAGGAGCGAAAGCCAGGGGAGCAAACGGGAUUAGAUACCCCGGUAGUCCUGGCCCUAAACGAUGAAUGCUUGGUGUGACGGGUAUCGAUCCCUGUCGUGCCGAAGCUAACGCAUUAAGCAUUCCGCCUGGGGAGUACGGUCGCAAGGCUG